GACAGAGGGUGCAAACGUUGUUCGGAAUUACUGGGCGUAAAGCGCACGUAGGCGGUCCGGUAAGUCGGAUGUGAAAUCCCUCGGCUUAACCGGGGAACUGCGUCUGAUACUGGAUGGCUUGAGUUUGGGAGAGGGAUGCGGAAUUCCAGGUGUAGCGGUGAAAUGCGUAGAUAUCUGGAGGAACACCGGUGGCGAAGGCGGCAUCCUGGACCAACACUGACGCUGAGUGAGCGAAAGCCAGGGGAGCAAACGGG
rnacentral:rRNA from 1 species